CUACCGAGCAAUGACGAAUCAAGUGAAAUACUCAACAAUAAUGAAGUGGAGGAAAAUAAUUGCACGGAGAGCCCAGAGAAUACACCUAUUCUUGAAGAAAACAUAGCAAACAGAGAGACCAAAGAUUCUGAACAUACACAGAAAUUAACCCACAAUGAAACAAGUCAAUAAAUGGUGGCAACUGAGGACAAGAAUUGGCACAAACACCCCUCAUGGGAUCUGGCCAAAAUAAUGGAGCUCAAGGCGAUACAUUUCAUUGG